rnacentral:rRNA from 1 species
UACGUAGGGUGCAAGCGUUGUCCGGAAUUAUUGGGCGUAAAGAGCUCGUAGGCGGUCUGUCGCGUCGGCUGUGAAAACCCGGGGCUCAACCCCGGGCCUGCAGUCGAUACGGGCAGACUAGAGUGCGGUAGGGGAGAAUGGAAUUCCCGGUGUAGCGGUGAAAUGCGCAGAUAUCGGGAGGAACACCGGUGGCGAAGGCGGUUCUCUGGGCCUUACCUGACGCUGAGGAGCGAAAGCGUGGGGAGCGAACAGG